rnacentral:rRNA from 1 species
UACGUAGGGUGCAAGCGUUAAUCGGAAUUACUGGGCGUAAAGCGUGCGCAGGCGGUUUUGUAAGUCUGUCGUGAAAUCUCCGGGCUUAACCUGGGAAUGGCGAUGGAGACUGCAAGGCUAGAGUUUGGCAGAGGGGGGUAGAAUUCCACGUGUAGCAGUGAAAUGCGUAGAGAUGUGGAGGAACACCGAUGGCGAAGGCAGCCCCCUGGGUCAAAACUGACGCUCAUGCACGAAAGCGUGGGGAGCAAACAGG